rnacentral:rRNA from 1 species
GUGGGGAAUUUUGGACAAUGGGCGAAAGCCUGAUCCAGCCAUGCCGCGUGUGUGAAGAAGGUCUUCGGAUUGUAAAGCACUUUAAGUUGGGAGGAAGGGCAGUAAGUUAAUACCUUGCUGUUUUGACGUUACCGACAGAAUAAGCCCCGGCUAACUUCGUGCCAGCAGCCGCGGUAAUACGAAGGGGGCGAGCGUUAUUCGGAAUCACUGGGCGUAAAGCGUGCGUAGGUGGUUUUGUAAGUUGGAGGUGAAAUCCCCGGGCUCAACCUGGGAACUGCCUCCAAAACUGCAUGACUAGAGUACGGUAGAGGGUAGUGGAAUUUCCUGUGUAGCGGUGAAAUGCGUAGAUAUAGGAAGGAACACCAGUGGCGAAGGCGACUACCUGGACUGAUACUGACACUGAGGUGCGAAAGCGUGGGGAGCAAACAGGAUUAGAUACCCGUGUAGUCC